AUCCUUUCGUAGUCCACAAGUGUGAUGAAUGGGUGUUCAUGUUCUUGUGUGAGAUGUGCCUACCUCAAACCUUGUUACGACAUCGGCACAUUACCCAUCUGAUA
rnacentral:snoRNA from 1 species